CCUACGGGAGGCAGCAGUGAGGAAUAUUGGUCAAUGGGCUUACGCCUGAACCAGCCAAGUCGCGUGAGGGAAGACUGCCCUAUGGGUUGUAAACCUCUUUUGUCAGGGAGCAAUUGGCGCUACGUGUAGCGUUAUCGAGAGUACCUGAAGAAAAAGCAUCGGCUAACUCCGUGCCAGCAGCCGCGGUAAUACGUAGGUGGCAAGCGUUAUCCGGAUUUACUGGGUGUAAAGGGCGUGUAGGCGGGACUGCAAGUCAGAUGUGAAAACCACGGGCUCAACCUGUGGCCUGCAUUUGAAACUGUAGUUCUUGAGUACUGGAGAGGCAGACGGAAUUCCUAGUGUAGCGGUGAAAUGCGUAGAUAUUAGGAGGAACACCAGUGGCGAAGGCGGUCUGCUGGACAGCAACUGACGCUGAGGCGCGAAAGCGUGGGGAGCAAACAGGAUUAGAUACCCGAGUAGUC
rnacentral:rRNA from 1 species